rnacentral:rRNA from 1 species
UACGUAGGGACCAAGCGUUGUUCGGAUUUACUGGGCGUAAAGGGCGCGAAGGCGGCAAUUCAAGUCAUCUGUGAAAUCUCCGGGCUUAACUCGGAACGGUCAGAUGAUACUGCUUUGCUAGAGUGCGGAAGGGGCAAUCGGAAUUCUUGGUGUAGCGGUGAAAUGCGUAGAUAUCAAGAGGAACACCUGAGGUGAAGACGGGUUGCUGGGCCGACACUGACGCUGAUAGCGCGAAAGCCAGGGGAGCAAACGGG